AAUGAACGCUGGCGGCAGGCCUAACACAUGCAAGUCGAACGGAUCCUUCGGGAUUAGUGGCGGACGGGUGAGUAACGCGUGGGAACAUACCCAAAGGUACGGAAUAGCCUCGGGAAACUGGGAGUAAUACCGUAUGUGCUCGAAAGAGGAAAGAUUUAUCGCCUUUGGAUUGGCCCGCGUUGGAUUAGGUAGUUGGUGGGGUAAUGGCCUACCAAGCCGACGAUCCAUAGCUGGUCUGAGAGGAUGAUCAGCCACACUGGGACUGAGACACGGCCCAGACUCCUACGGGAGGCAGCAGUGGAGAAUCUUAGACAAUGGGGGAAACCCUGAUCUAGCCAUGCCGCGUGAUCGAUGAAGGCCUUAGGGUUGUAAAGAUCUUUCAGGUGGGAAGAUAAUGACUGUACCACCAGGAGAAGCCCCGGCUAACUCCGUGCCAGCCGCCGCGGUAA
rnacentral:rRNA from 1 species